rnacentral:rRNA from 1 species
AUUGAACGCUGGCGGCAUGCUUUACACAUGCAAGUCGAACGGCAGCGCGGGCUUCGGCCUGGCGGCGAGUGGCGAACGGGUGAGUAAUGCAUCGGAACGUGCCCAGUAGUGGGGGAUAGCCCGGCGAAAGCCGGAUUAAUACCGCAUACGACCUGAGGGUGAAAGCGGGGGACCGAAAGGCCUCGCGCUAUUGGAGCGGCCGAUGUCGGAUUAGCUAGUUGGUGGGGUAAAGGCUUACCAAGGCGACGAUCCGUAGCUGGUCUGAGAGGACGACCAGCCACACUGGGACUGAGACACGGCCCAGACUCCUACGGGAGGCAGCAGUGGGGAAUUUUGGACAUUGGGGGCAACCCUGAUCCAGCCAUGCCGCGUGCGGGAAGAAGGCCUUCGGGUUGUAAACCGCUUUUGUUCGGGAAGAAAUCCUCUGGGCUAAUACCCCGGGGGGAUGACGGUACCGGAAGAAUAAGCACCGGCUAACUACGUG